AGAAUCAACGCUGGCGGCGUGCCUAACACAUGCAAGUCGAACGAGAAAGGGGAGCAAUCCCUGAGUAAAGUGGCGACCGGGUGAGUAACACGUGACUAACCUACCCUCGAGUGUGGAAUAACAUCGGGAAACCGAUGCUAAUACCGCAUAAUAUCGCGAGAUCAAAGGAGCAAUCCGCUUGAGGAGGGGGUCGCGGCUGAUUAGCUAGUUGGCGGGGUAACGGCCCACCAAGGCGAAGAUCGGUA
rnacentral:rRNA from 1 species